CAGCCCUACAGCAGAAGAGAGAAAAUCCCUCUUCUUUUCCAGGCUCAUCCUCGACCUGCUGUCUGACUUCCCUGCAUUCAACGUGAUAAUAAACAUCUGGCUGAAUUUCCCUUCCCAUCAGAAUGAACAAGAAUUAACAAACACCUGUCUCCAUACUCUGCCUGUAACUAUCUUUCAGCUUAAUAGGCCUGGUGCUUCCAGUCCCCAGUUCAGGGGGAAAUUAAAUAGGAGAAUGACAUACCAGGAUCUUGAGAUUUUAAUACAAGGAUACACUGGAAAGAAGUGCUCUGGAGAUUGAAAGCUAGCAGCAAGUGCUGAAGACACAAGGCAAAGCUCAGAAUCAGAGCCAGGGGUUUCCAUUCAUAAUCCUGACUCCAACCAAAGAAUAUUUGGGGGAAUACCCUCUCAAACCAGCUCUGGCUAAGGGCCAGAAAGUGGAAUGGCCCAAGGUUGCCUGACUCUGUGCCCAGGCUUGUGUCUCCAGUGCAAAAGAGGCAACGGGCUGAGGUGAGGAAGGCACUAAAUGCACCAUUCUGCCACAUCUGCCAAGCAGCACUUGAAUACCUGGUGAGUUGAAAAGUCCCCAGAAAGGCUCCCAGAGUUAAAAGUGGCCUGAAACCACUUUGGCAGAGCCCUGGAGCACCUCACUGACACAAAAAAUCAGAGGGAAUGUUUUAACUCCUAACGCCUUGUUAUUGGGCAUUGAAAGUUUUAUUGUAUUAAAAAAAAAAAAAAAGAAAGAAAAAAGAAAAUAAAAGAAACCAAACAAAAUCUUGCCGUUUCAAUUCACUUUACUGAGCUUAGUCCCAUUAAAUUAAAAAAAUAGUUGCUGAGAAACCCUUCACAGGGCUUCAGCACGGAAAUCUUAUCUCAUUUAUAUUACCACUAGGUGGCUCAAAACGAAAGCAAAAAUUACAUCACUCACUGCUCAGUCCACGACCAGAAUGAACACACACGACUUAAAGACUGUCUCACAAUUGUCAUGCUUCAAAAAUUUCUAUAAAUCAUCAAGUUCCCCAGGUUAGUGAUAAA